GCCUGGCUGGCUCAGUCCAUAGAGCGUGUGACUCUUGAUCUCAAGGUCAUGAGUUCAAGCCCCAUGUUGGGCG
rfam:Ailuropoda melanoleuca scaffold1_22, whole genome shotgun sequence.